rnacentral:lncRNA from 1 species
CGUAUUCGAAUCCCGAUACGAGUAUCCUGGUUAAGUACGAUAACUCGUGCAUAGGUAAACAAAAUUUCAACAUGGAUACAUUUGUUGUUCGUUCGAAACGAAAGAAAGAUGAAGUAGAGAGUCCAAAUUGUCAGACUAGGACUGCAACUGACGAAAGUGGAGAAUCAUCUAAGACUGAAGCUUCUCCGACAAGUAAUACAUCGUCAUGUACACAACACCACCCCC